rnacentral:rRNA from 1 species
AUUGAACGCUGGCGGCAUGCCUUACACAUGCAAGUCGAACGGCAGCACGGGGCAACCUGGUGGCGAGUGGCGAACGGGUGAGUAAUGCAUCGGAACGUGCCAUUGAGUGGGGGAUAACGUAGCGAAAGUUGCGCUAAUACCGCAUAUCCUGUGAGCAGGAAAGCAGGGGGACCGCAAGGCCUUGCGCUCUUUGAGCGGCCGAUGUCAGAUUAGCUAGUUGGUGAGGUAACGGCUUACCAAGGCGACGAUUUGUAGCGGGUCUGAGAGGAUGAUCCGCCACACUGGAACUGAGACACGGUCCAGACUCCUACGGGAGGCAGCAGUGGGGAAUUUUGGACAAUGGGCGCAAGCCUGAUCCAGCCAUGCCGCGUGAGUGAAGAAGGCCU